GGGGGUGGCGACGUUGCGGUCCUUGACCAGAGUGAAGUGUAGGUGCCGGUUGAAGCCCUUCUUCAGCUCCGCCACGUUCUCCACGCCCACGAUGCCGCGAAUGCUGAUCUGCCGUCGCUUCUCUUGUUCUUGGAGUUCCGGUUAAUAGAUGGAUCGAAAUAACUGAUACUUCCCUUGAUUCAUAAUUCUUUGAAAACCCUAUCUUGGGAUGAAAUUCAUAUCAGCAAAGCACCUUUGUGGACAGAUGUUGAGUCUGAAGUGUGUGUCACAGUAUUUAUAGGACAGCCGUUUUGCACGAGCCCUUUCUAUGACAUCAGACAGGCACGGAGCCGAACUUCACAAGAACACGGGACUGCCUAAUUUGGGGCAUUAAGCCUCCUAACCUGAACAAACUAACUUUUUAAAAUAUCAAGUGCAUUCCAUCAUUGGCAUCAGAACCUACUUCUUCAGGAUUCCGGUGCAGACCAAAGAGCAGUUGAGACAUCCAGCCUCAUGGACUGAAAAACUGCUGGCUGCUUGGACUCUCUGUUCACAGCCAGUCAUUGCUGCAUUCGCUGUACCACAGCCUGUAAGUCAUUUUAAUAAAUCCCCUUUCUGUACAUUUAUAGAGUCAUUCUAUAAGCUCUGUCCUUCUAGAGAACCCUAACUAAUACAGUAUGUUUGAGACAGAAGCAGGAAACACAGACAGACUGCCAUACAAAGAUCACUAAUCUGUGGGCAGCAAAACCAUGUCUUGCCAAAGGAACAUGUCUGCCUCAUAUCCAGAGGGACCCAUGAACUUCCCAGUGGGGUUAGUAUUCCCUUGCCUUGUAGAUGUAAUACUUUUUUGGCUCCGGUUCUGUCUGAUGAAAGGCUCAGGGGUGGGGAGGUAUGACUGGAGAAAGAUUUACUAGGAAAGCUCUCUCAGCAAGGAGGCUGUAAUAGAAGAGUUUGCUAGCUAAGAACAGUGUCAGUUCAAAACCCUAGAAUCUGUCAUAGCAGAAACAAGGCUUAGACAAUGGUUGAUGGUAUUAUUAGCACUAAAUCGCUAUAGUAAUAGUAACAGCUAGUGCUGCGGGCUCAUCAGGGAUGCAGCAGCAUGCUGGUUUCCAUAGACGAUCAAAGCACCACGUACAUGCUGCAGUGGUUUGAAAGAAGAUGGCCCCCGGAAGGGAGUGGCACCAUUAGGAGGUGUGGCUUUGUUGGAGUAGGUUUGGCCUUGGAGGAAGUGUGUCUCUAUGGGGAUGGGCUUUGAGGUCUCCUAUGCUCAAGUUACGCCCACUGACACAGUUGCUUCUGCUGCUUGCUGAUCAAGAUGUCUUAACUCCUUUUCCAUCACCACGUCUGCCCGAAUGACACCACAAAGAUAAUGGACCAAACUUCUGAAACUGUAAUCCAGCCCCAAUUAAAUGUUCCCUUAUAAGAGUUGCUGUGAUCAUGGUGUCUCUUCACAGCAAUAGAAACCCUAACUAAGACACAUGUUAUUGUCUUCGGCCUCUCACUGGCAGAUGCCGACCUAAAGGCUCAGAGACAAGAAAUAGGCUCUGUCACACAGUUAAACUGUCUUUUUGAAAGGGCAGGAUGAUUUGACAGACCCGCAUCCAUUUUUGACAAUACAAGACAAGAAAUCCCUGACGGAGUGGUCCACCUCCAGGAGAGAUGGGAAGACCAUGCUGUGACUGCCACAGCAGGUCUUCUGCGGGAGUCCCUGGCAUCGAUUAAUAGGCAAGUGUACACGUCAUCAAUUACAAAAUCAAAGAACAAGAUCACAAAAUGAUUUCCACUCGAAUCCUACAGAUGCCUGUAAUGUCUGAGGAGAAAUGAAAUCGUCAUUAGACAAAGGCAGCACCAGGUCAUGAACACCUGCAACCCUCCAGAAUUCCUCUGUGUGGCCAGAGCAAGGGAGAAAGGAAGCCGGCUCCCCACUCCCAGCCGGAACACCAACCCUAAGGGACACUUUACGAAUACUUGGGUGGUAAGGCUUGCAUGCAUUCGCUUAUGGGGUUUUUCACAGCCCCCUUCUUACCUCUGCUUCAUUGACAAAGAAACUGAAAGCCAGAGAGGCUUCAAAGCUAACAAGUAGUGGGACUGGACCUGGAGGUUGAGAACCACUGCUCUGGAGGAAGUGCUCGACAUUUCUAGGAAGUUGUCGCUGGUCCACUAGAAAAGACUAUCACACAUGUUCUGAAGACAGUCACUUCAGCCUCCAAACCUCUGCAUGUGGGCAGACUGCCUGUGCGCAUGUGUGUGUUCACCCGUCCCUGCCAGCCCUCUCCUGGGGCUCGUUUCCUGCCACACAAAGGAGAGUCUGUUCAGAUCACUCUGUCCUUGACUGUGUCCUUGGCACAUAACAAGGGCUGUUGCAUUCUAGGAGAGUUAAUGAAGAUUCAUUUGUCCUCAUGGGAGCAGAGGCACUUAAAGGAAUUAACAACCAUUUGGCUGGUGGAGUUUUAGGUCACAGUUUUGUCCUGGUAUUGGAUUUAACAUGCAGACAAUCGAUUUUAGCAACAUGCAUUAAAUGCUCUAUGUGCUCACAAUUCUAGGGUAGUGUUCUUCAGAGAAAGCAGAUGGCUGAUACCUGUUCUUACCCAUGCAGCAGAACCUUGGGAAGACUACAAAAGUACUCUGAAAACUCUACUCCCAUGUCCCAGGAGAGAGUAGACAAUGCCAACUGAGAAUUUGGAAAACUAUUCUAAAAUGAUCUCUAAUAAAAGAAGAAGACAAAACUCGGCAUGCCAUUUUUAUACAACUAAAGACAAGGAGCCCAAACAUUACUUCCAAUGGUUGAAAAGAAGGUGAGGUGGUUUUCUAUUUAAGGGACAACGAGAACCAUGCCAGAAGAAUUCAGCCAUCCGAACAAGGAAAGCCCAGUGUUCUCUAGAUGGAGUUCUCCUGCUUGGGGUGAUGGAGCCCUUUGCUAGUGAGGCAGUGAUCGCAGAAGAUGAAUUCUUGCUAAGCUGCAGCUGCCUGAGAAGAAACCUGUGGACACGCAUAGCUGGCCCAUCUUCCACAGCAACAAAAGGAAUGAACCAGGAAGAUUUGAAUUUUUUUGUGUGUAUGUGUCAAGAAACAAACAUAUUUUUCUUGCAUAAAAAUGUCACAAGUGUAAAUUCGUACUUUAAGUCACUUAAAAAUAUUUUGAGUUUUCACUGUGUCCAUGUAACAUUAUUAGAAAAAACAUAUCUAAUGACAUUGUUAUUUCAUAAUGGGCAGAUUGUGUUAAUAUUAUCCCAGAUGUUAUUUAAUUUGGAUCCUUUGUACUCGGACUUAGGAUGCAGCUUGAGGGAAUAUGUUUACUGCCAAGUUGUGAAAGGGCAGUUCAUUGGGUAGACUGAGAGUCCCUGCAGACAAUGAGACAAUGAGCGAGCUAACCAUACACUAGGAGCAUCUGUCCCUGUGCUAACAAAUAUCCCAAAGGCCAGUGGGGAGGGGUUCAUCUGCAGCCAGUCAGCUGAUAUUGCAUCACAAACUUUGGCUUUUCCUUUUCAUCACAAAUACUUGACAGGUAAAAAAUUAUUCAGACUGAACAGGUCCAGGCUCUCACUGAAUUGAUUAAACUUAAUGAACACAAAGCAGGACACAUAAAUUAACAAGGCAGAGAGAAAACAAUCCAAAGUGAAUUAAAUUAUGAUGAAGUGCUAAACAGAAAUUUCGCUAUUACACCAAAUGGUCUAUUCUGCUAAUGUCAUAAAGAGUUGUCCUGGGUGCCCUGUGUGUCAGGCAGUCGCUGCACUUAGGGGCGUUCCGCAUCCUAGCCUUCAGUGUAGUGGCAUUCUCUGCUGCUGUGUGUACAGACUUGAGCAGUGUGCACAGCUUUCUCCACACUCGCCUCUGUGUGCACUAAGGAACAAGUGACUGUUUUUGGAAAUGAGGUCAGCUAUGCCGAGCUCACAGACCUCAGUUCUAAUACCCACUGCAGGAGCUGCUCACUCCAGGUUCAUCCCGCCACCUGGCCUGGACUGCACAGGAGGUGGAUGGGUGGCCCAGCCUCAAAGGGCAGAGAGUGUGGGAGCAGACUGCUCUGCCAGCCGACCAGAGCAUUCCAAAGCCUCGAGGCUUCUACUUUCUAACUGCCCUUCCUUCUGCCCUAGUGCCAAGGCGAAUUGGCUUGGUGCCUUUCCCCCUUCUUCUACCAAAAGCCUUUACAGUGCUCUUUAAUGAUGUAUCUCUUCCUUCAUGAUACAUGAGACAUAACUUUUUAGUGGAUUUAUUUUGCUGACAGGAUUGGAGAUAGGCAGAGGCUGACUAGGGGGCAAUUAACCUGGGGCUCUCUAUAUUCUGCAAAAGAUAGUUUACUGACUUUGCCAUGUAGGUGUCAGAGAAGAUUUUUAAACAGCAACAAAAGAUUACUGCAACACACACACACACACACACACACACACACACACACACACACACACACUGAAUGUAUGAAAGGAAAUUAGCUAUUUCUCCAAGAAGCUACACUGUUUUAUAGGACAGAUUGGGAAUGACACCAGUGUGCUCUGAGGCUACUUCUCGGGGCGGGCCCUAACCCCAUCCCUUUCUGUAACUUAGGCUUCCGGUGCCCGGGUUAUAUCAGCUGACUUCUAGAGCUGUGAGAAUAAAUGGAAGUGGAAAAAAGUCA